GACGUAGGGCGCGAGCGUUGUCCGGAUUUAUUGGGCGUAAAGAGUUCGUAGGCGGUUUGUCGCGUCGUCCGUGAAAACUCACAGCUUAACUGUGAGCUUGCGGUCGAUACGGGCAGGCUAGAGUUCGGUAGGGGAGACUGGAAUUCCUGGUGUAGCGGUGAAAUGCGCAGAUAUCAGGAGGAACACCGGUGGCGAAGGCGGGUCUCUGGGCCGAUACUGACGCUGAGGAGCGAAAGCGUGGGGAGCGAACAGG
rnacentral:rRNA from 1 species